GAUGAACGCUGGCGGCAGGCCUAACACAUGCAAGUCGAACGGCAGCGGGGGGAAGCUUGCUUCCCCGCCGGCGAGUGGCGGACGGGUGAGUAAUGCCUGGGGAGCUGCCCAAUCGAGGGGGAUACCAGUUGGAAAAGACUGCUAAUACCGCAUACGCCUCGAGGGGGAAAGAUGGGGAUUUUUUGACCUAUCGCGAUUGGAUGCACCCAGGUGGGAUUAGCUAGUUGGUGAGGUAGCGGCUCACCAAGGCGACGAUCUCUAGCUGGUUUGAGAGGAUGACCAGCCACACUGGAAAUGAGACACGGUCCAGAAUCCUACGGGAGGCAGCAGUGGGGAAUAUUGCACAAUGGGGGAAACCCUGAAGCAGCCAUGCCGCGUGUGUGAAGAAGGCCUUCGGGUUGUAAAGCACUUUCAGUGGGGAGGAAAGGGGUAAUGCUAAUACCAUUGCCCUGUGACGUUACCCACAGAAGAAGCACCGGCUAACUCCGUG
rnacentral:rRNA from 1 species